rnacentral:lncRNA from 1 species
CCCACACCCAAUAGUACACCGCCCGGCGGUAUGUUCGACACUUGACAUCACCCCUCAGCGUUGCCGCAUGAGCGUUGGCCAAAGAGUUCCCUGAAGGUUCCACCGCCCGUCGGUGGCUUCACCACUCGGCGGUGAGGUCGACACUUGAAUUCACCCCUCAGCGGUGUCGCUUGAAUUCGCCCGACGGUGGCUGCGACUCUUCUUUUCUUC